rfam:Stegodyphus mimosarum contig17002, whole genome shotgun sequence.
GCCUUCGUGGUGUAGUGGUCUGCAUGCUCCACGCGUAACCCAGAAGUCCGUGGUUCGAUUCCCGGCGAAAGCG